rnacentral:rRNA from 1 species
UGGGUAACCUGCCUCAAAGAGGGGAAUAGCCUCCCGAAAGGGAGAUUAAUACCGCAUAAUAUGUUUAAGUCGCAUGACUUUAACAUCAAAGGAUUUUCUUUUAGAAAUUCCACUUUGAGAUGGACCCGCGGCGCAUUAGCUAGUUGGUGAGGUAACGGCUCACCAAGGCAACGAUGCGUAGCCGACCUGAGAGGGUGAUCGGCCACAUUGGAACUGAGACACGGUCCUGACUCCUAGGGACGG